UAAAGGCCACACCAUCCCACUCCUCCACCUUGCCCACCUCUUCCUCGCCCGCCGCCUCUGUGUCACCGUCUUCACCACCCCCGCCAACCGCUCUUUCAUAGACCAAUAUCUCGCCGACACCUCAGCCACUGUGAUCUCCCUUCCCUUCCCUCAAAACAUCCCCGAAAUUCCCGCUGGCAUCGAAAGCACCGACAAGCUCCCUUCCAUCGACCUCUUCUACCCUUUCGCCCUCGCCACAAUCCACAUGCAGUUCGACUUCGAGCGUGCCCUCACCACCCUCCCACGUGUCACCUUCAUGGUCUCCGAUGGGUUCUUCUGGUGGACACUCGACUCCGCGGCCAAGUUCGGGUUCCCCAGAUUCGUCUUCUACGGCUUCGGAAACUACGCCUUGUCGGUGUCCAGCUUCGUCAGCCAGAACAGGCUCUUGCAUGGGGCCGAGUCUGACGACGAGUUGAUCACCGUGACUCGGUUUCCUUGGAUCAAAAUUACAAAAAAGUACUUCGAUGAUGCCUUUAGAGGCGCCGAUCAUAACCGACAAGCGUCUCAAGCCUCCGAGUUCCUUGUCAUGUCUGUCGUGGCUGCGCGACGCAGCCACGGCAUGAUAGUCAACAGUUUCUACGAACUUGAGCCUGUGUUCACUGACUAUUGGAACACUGAGUGUGGGCCCAAGGCCUGGUGUGUGGGCCCUCUUUUCCAACUUGCGCAAGAUGAACCGCACGAUGAUCUCGGGGAUAAGCCCACGUGGGUUGAUUGGCUGGACAAAAAACUGGAGGAAGGAAGUAAGGUCUUGUACGUUGCUUUUGGGUCACAAGCUGAGCUGUCAGCUGAACAGAUCCAAGAGAUAGCAUUAGGGCUGGAAAACUCAAUGGUCAACUUUUUGUGGGUCAUAAGAAGUAAACAGUACUCAUCAGAGACUGCCACGUUGGACAUUAGAGGGUUUGAGGAGAGAGUGAAGAGGAGGGGAAUGGUGGUCAAAGAGUGGGUUGACCAGAAGUGGAUUUUAAUGCAUGAGAGCGUGCAAGGUUUUGUAAGCCACUGCGGAUGGAACUCGGUGAUGGAGAGCAUAUGUGCCGGAGUGCCGAUUCUGGCGUGGCCGAUGAUGGCGGAUCAGCCGAUCAAUGCAAAGUUCGUGGUGGAGGAGGUCAAGGUGGGGCUGAGGGUGGAGACAUGCGAUGGUUCGCCGAAGGGGUUUGUGAAGUCGGAGGGGUUGGAGAAGAUGGUCAAAGAGUUGAUGGAGGGAGAGAAGGGGGAGAAGGCGAGGAGGGAGGCGAAGAAGCUUGCUGAGGUGGCAAGGAAAGCUAUGAGUGAAGGCGGGUCGUCGUGGCCAACGCUGCGGUUGCUUAUAGAUGAGACAACAUGCAAAAAGAACACUAGGUUCUAGACGAUUAGUCGGGAGGGUUAAAGUAGUUGAUAAAAUGUGUAAGGCUCUUUAAUUUAGCGUUGAAAAUAAGGUCGUUGUCGUAUUCAUGUUUUAUGUGCUGAGACUUGACGACAAUUCAUGCACAAAACCUAAUUAGUUGCAUGCAGGAUGUGAGAAACAACUACCCUUGCUCCUUUUCUAAACUGAACCUUCCCGUGGCUUUAGGAUUCCGUUGGACGGUUUUACUGUGGUGGGCUGAAGCAUGCUAACGAGAUCAUUGGCAGCACCACAGAGCAGCUUGUCCUCAAGGCAAAGCAAGGUGGUAAUGCUCGAUGUAUCUUGAAAAGCUGAGCCUGCUUCUAUAUAUCCGAUGUCUAUACAGGAACGUUACUUGAAAGUGUGUGUGGUUUUGGCAGGUGCUAAUUCCGCUCUCGAACAGCCCUAGAAGGCUAGAAGGCUAGAUCAUCGUCACCUUCGAUGGAAGGUUCAAGACUAUUAUUUUUGGAUUUUUUUUUCCUUUUCUUCACGUACAGAAGACAAUAUAUAGAAAAGAAGUGCAUGAUCAGCCAUUACAAUAUAUCUGCUAUUAAGCCCCGUGUGUUCUAUAUGAUUGAUUUGUAAUGGAUAAUCGACUAUAUUCAUAGUUUAUUACAAAUAAAAGUGAAUAAUAUUUUAUUUUUGAGAAAUGAAAUUAUAGAAGGAUGAAAUUUGUUUCAUUUUUAACGAGUAACCAUUUUUCUACCUUUAAAUCGAACAAAAAAGUUUCAAUUAUUUCAUCAACGUACCUUUGAUAUGACAGUUACAAAUUCUCAUCUAGUCAUGUGUACAAUUUUUUUUUAAUGAUGUUAGACAGAUCAUUUAUUUGAAUCAUAUUUUGUAGACCAACUAACAGUGAAAGUUGGAUUUCUUAUUUAAAUUACCAAAGAAAAAAUUCAACCAUCAACCAGGAUAUUAUAUAGUCUACAAAAUAUAAUUAAAAAAAGUCAUGCAUGUGUACAUAACCUGCCAUCUGUGUGCAUUUCGUUCAUUCAUCGAGUACAUCUGUAUAUAUACAGCAUAAACAUCAAUAUAUAUAUAUAUGGACAUAACCCUACCUCUUUAACUACUCAAACUUAGUUUUGUUUAUAAUAUUCAACAACAAAACAAACCAGAACGACUCCGACUACUUUCAGGGAAAAAUAUUAGAGAGAGAGAGAGAGAGAGAGAAAGAGUUAUGGGUUCAAUUUCGGAGCAGGGACACGGUGACGGCCACGUAGUUUUAUUUCCCUACAUGUCCAAAGGCCACACCAUCUCACUCCUCCACCUUGCCCGCCGCCUUUGGGUCACCGUGUUUACCACCCCCGUCAACCGCUCGUUCAUCGACCAAUUCCUCACCGAAACCUCAGCCACCGUGAUCUCCCUCCCUUUCCCUCAAAACAUUCCCGAAAUUCCUGCUGGCAUCGAAAGCACCGACAAGCUACCUUUCAUCGACCUCUUCCACUCUUUCGCCCUCGCCACAAUCCAUAUGCAGUCCGACUUCGAGCGUGCCCUCACCAACCUUUCACGUAUAACCUUCAUGAUCUCCGACGGGUUCCUCUGGUGGACCCUCGACUCCGCCGCCAAGUUCAGGUUACCAAGAUUCGUCUUCUACGGCCUCUGAAACUACGCCAUGUCGCCGUUCAACCUAGUAGCCCAGAACCGACUCCUGCAUAGAGCCGAGUCUGACGACGAGUUGAUCACCGUGACUUGGUUUCCUUGGAUCAAAGUUACAAAAAAGACUUCAAUGAUGACUUUAAGGACGCCGAUCAUAACCGACAAGCGUCUCAAGCUUCCGAGUUCCACGUCAUGGCUGUCGUAGCGGCGCUCGCAGCUACGGCAUAAUAGUCAACAGUUUCUACGAACUCGAGCCUGUGUUAACUGACAAUUGGAACACUGAGUCUGGGCCCAAGGUCCGGUGAGUGGGCCCUUUUUUCCCCUGGCGCAAGAUGAACCACACAAGGAUCACGGUGAUAAGCCCAAUAGUUGAGCUAGGAGUUAUUUGAUGGAUGGGCUAAACAAAAAUUAUUACUAGGAGAUCAAAUGGUUAAAUUUUUUUUUGUUACUUACAUAAAGUUACACAAUAACAAGCCUGAAAGCAAUAAUUUAAAGUAAGAAAUUUAACUAUGAAUAAAGCAAGUUUCAAUUAGAUUUAAUAAAGAAAACAUUUGAAGUUGUAACUAUAGUAGAAAGAAACGGAUUUGGAUCCUCUCCUGAGCUUAUGGAGAGGAUCCUCUUGACCAAGACACGUGGGAUGUUGGAUGAAAAUCCAACAGCUACAAACAUGGGGGGUUUCUUUAAAGUUAUAAUAAUUAUAGCCGUUGAAUUUUAAUCCAACGACUCACAUGUCUUGGUCAGGAGGAUCAUCUCCUUAAGCUCAGGAGAGGAUUUAAAUCCGAAAGAAACAUACAUCAUCAAUCUUGUCAUAACAACUUAACAAAUAAUAGAAAAAGUACAUAUUCAAGUUGUGCCCUUUGAUCCUUAAUGGAAUUGAAAUCCUUUGUUAUUUCUUCUGAAUCAAUAUUUUCGGCAAGCUCUUUUUCAAUGUACACAACCAUUGAAUCUGCUAGAAAUUCACUCUCCAUCUUCAUCUAUCAAAUUAUCAGAAAAAUAUAUUAAACUUGAAAUUGAAUUUUUAAAGUACGAACUCUUAAAAUUAAAGCAAUAAACAAAUAAAAUCAUCAAGACAUAAGAAGAAGGGAACUUUAACGAAAAGCACCUGGUACUGUUCACGAAAAACCACAUUUUUACACUAAAAAGUCAAUCCUGGUACUAUUCACUUUGCCCUUUAUUUUGUCCUUAUCAUUAAAACUCAAAGUUUUCAAGCCCUUUUCAUUAGUUUUCCUUAAGAAUAAAGUGAUAAAAAACUUACCUAUUGAUGAGAAAAAUAAAAAAACUUUCUCACUUGUAUGUUUGGUUUCUGUGAACUGCAGAUGAGACGAGACGAAUGCUUUCUAAAAAGUGAACAAGGGUCACUGUUGUACCCCAAAAGUCGAAAAAAUAAUAAUAAACUACUCCUAGGAAACCUAAAAUAAUAAAAUAUUAAAUCUACUCUUUAAAACCGGAUGACUACUCCUAAGAAACCUAAACUAAUCACUAUAGACUACUCCCUAGAAACUAAUCAUAUAAAAAGAUUUAUUGGGACGUGUGUGUCAGUGUGUACGAUUUGAAAUAUAAUAAUAAUAAUAAAUUUUGAUAUUGAUUAAAGUAAAUAAUUUAUUUAAUAUUUAUUAACUUUUACUUUUUCUAAAAGUAGUCAUAUUUUUCAGAACAUUUACUUACUGGGUGGGUU
rnacentral:lncRNA from 1 species